GGUGAACGCUGGCGGCGGGCCUAAUACAUGCAAGUCGAACGAACAGACGAUGAGCUUUCUCCUCUGCCGUUAGCGGCGGACGGGUGGGUAACACGUGGAUCACCUUCCAAUUAGUCUUGGAGGACUUCGUGGAGCCGCUUCUACUACCGGCUAAUACGUUCUACCGCAUGGUUCAGUAGUUCUUCACGGUUUUGCUGUCACUUAUAGCUGCAGCCGCGUCGCAUUAGCUAGUUGGUAAGGUAACGGCAUACCAAGGCUACGAUGCGUAGCCGACCUGAGAGGGUGAUCGGCCACACUGGAACUGAGACACGGUCCAGACUCCUACGGGAGGCAGCAGUGGGGAAUCUUCCGCAAUGGGCGAAAGCCUGACGGAGCAACGCCGCGUGAGUGAAGAAGGUCUUCGGAUUGUAAAGCUCUGUUAUUAGGGAAGAAAAAAUGUGUAAGUAACCAUGGACGUCUUGACGGUACCUAAUGAGAAAGCCACGGCUAACUACGUG
rnacentral:rRNA from 1 species